ACCUGUGGUUACUGACAUAUAGAUCAUAAAAUAUUUCCAUACACCAAAUAUAGUUGAACUAUUGCAUAUAGUAUUAGAAAAAAAGACCAAAACUCAAAAACUUAACUUUAACCACUGAACCAUGAAAAUGAGGUCAAGGUCAAAUAAAACCUGCAUGACUGACAUAUAGAUCAUAAAAUAUUUCCAUACACCAAAUAUAGUUGAACUAUUGCAUAUAGUAUUAGAAAAAAAGACCAAAACUCAAAAACUUAACUUUGACCACUGAACCAUGAAAAUGAGGUCAAGGUCAGAUGACACCUGCCAGCUAGACAUGAACACCUUACAAUCAUUCCAUACACCAAAUAUAGUAGACCUAUUGCAUACAGUAUAAGAAAAACAGACCAAAACACAAAAACUUAACUAUAUCCACUGAACCAUGAAAAUGAGGUCAAGGUCAGAUGACACCUGCCAGUUGGACAUGUACACCUUACAGUCCUUCCAUACACCGAAUAUACUAGACCUAUUGCUUAUAGUAUCUGAGAUAUGGACUUGACCACCAAAACUUAACCUUGUUCACUGAUCCAUGAAAUGAGGUCGAGGUCAAGUGAAAACUGUCUGACGGGCAUGAGGACCUUGCAAGGUACGCACAUACCAAAUAUAGUUAUCCUAUUACUUAUAAUAAGAGAGAAUUUAACAUUACAAAAAAUCUUAACUUUUUUUUCAAGUAGUCACUGAACCAUGAAAAUGAGGUCAAGGACAUUGGACAUGUGACUGACGGAAACUUCCUAACAUGAGGCAUCCAUAUACAAAGUAUGAAGCAUCCAGCUCUUCCACCUUCUAAAAUAUAAAGCUUUUAAGAAGUUAGCUAAAGCCGCCGCCGCCGGAUCACUAUCCCUAUGUCGAGCUUUCUGCGACAAAAGUCGCAGGCUCAAC